ACAGAGGGUGCAAGCGUUAAUCGGAAUUACUGGGCGUAAAGGGAGCGUAGGUGGCUCUAUAAGUCAGAUGUGAAAUCCCCGGGCUUAACCUGGGAACUGCAUCUGAAACUGUAGAGCUAGAGUAUGUGAGAGGAAGGUAGAAUUCCAGGUGUAGCGGUGAAAUGCGUAGAGAUCUGGAGGAAUACCGAUGGCGAAGGCAGCCUUCUGGCAUAAUACUGACACUGAGGCUCGAAAGCGUGGGUAGCAAACAGG
rnacentral:rRNA from 1 species